rnacentral:ncRNA from 1 species
ACCUUGCUAGCCCCACACUAACAUCCACAAACAACAUCUUGGUCUAUGUAUAUACCCUACCCCCCUUCGGAAUUGAACAUGUGACCUUAGAGGAGAAAACCCAUGUUCAUACCCAUUAGGCCCACUUCUGCUGUACUAAGUAGGUUUGAUACUAAGGUCUAAUGUUAUGCUAAUUUUGUGGCUCAACAAGGCAAUGAUACAAAUGAUAAGAUUUUGCUUGCCCUUGUUGAAUUUAGUGAACAACUAUGAAACAUGGAUGGCGCUAAAGCACGCGACCUAUACUCGAUCGUCGGAGCAAUUGCCAAGCUUCGAUGAGUAGGGGGACACGGGGGUCAUUGAGAAACCUUGGGCGUGAGCUUGGGUGGACCGGUCCCCAGUGCAGAUCCUGGUGGCAGUAGCAAAUAUUCAAAUGAGAACUUUGAAGGCUGAAGCGGGGAAGGUUCCAUGUGAACAACACUUGAACAUGGGUUAGUUGAUCCUAAGAGAUGGGGAAGCCCUGUAUCAAGGGUGCACUCUGCACAAACAUCGAAAGGGAAUCGGGUUAAUAUUCCUGAACCAGGACAUGGCGGUAGAUGACAACAUUAGGAAAUCUAGAGACGUCGUCGGAGGCCUUGGGAAGAGUUAUCUUUUCUUUUUAACAGCUUGCCCACCCGAAAAUCGGUUCAACCGAAGAUAGGGUCUAGCAGCGAGAAGAGCAUCACACGUCUUACGGUGUCCGGUGCGCCCUCGACGACCCUUGAAAAUCUGGAGGAUCGAGUACCGUCCAUGCUCGGUCGUACUCAUCACUGCUUCAAGUCUCCAAGGUGAACAACCUCUGGUC